GCAUGCUCUAUGGGGUAGAGACGCUAGGCCGGCACUGCCUAGGUGGGCCGGGCGGUGCGAGGGUCGCCUUUCAGCCUUUACCUCUACCCACUGAAAUGGAGUAGGUCGGUGAGCGCCGAUCUGCUGGAGAAUCUCAUUAUCCCAUCGGCGCUCUGCCUGCUCCUGGCCUCCAAGCCUCUGAAGCCCCUCGGGUUUCAGCUGCCGGCUACCCUCGAGCCCGUGGUGCCCACGAGAGAGGCGACUUUACGUCAGCGGCCCUGGGCUGAGAUUUGAGAACGCGACCAAGUGGAGAAUGUUGGAGCCAGAUUUUAAAAUCCUUGUCUUCCUUCUGCGUGCUACUUGAUCUAAAUGAGAUACGGCAAAGUCACAGAACCUGUUUUUAUGUUUUUGCCUGAUUCAUACGGGCUUCUCCGGUGAAGAUGGGCCUGAAGUAACGCUUGGGUUGCUUCUGACGUUAUAACUCAUCCUGUAGCUGCAGCAACCGUGGUCCUUGCAACCUCAUAAAAAUGUUGCCAGCAUUGUUUCGAUAGUGCUGCUUAAUUCUUGGAAGGCCUCUUUGCUUUCUUCCCUGAGGUUCUUCGGACUUCACACAUUCCAGCAGUAGCUCUCUCAGCUCCUGUCCUGCACAGCUUUGAAGUGCUGGUUGCCUCAUCACUCUGUUGAUGGGCUAAAGACCUGAAGAGCCAUUUGUCCAAAGAAGACAUACAAGCGGCCAACAGACAUAUGAAAAAAUGCUCAACAUCACUAAUCGUCAGGGAAAUGCAAAUCAAAACCACAGUGAGAUAUCACUUCACACCUGUCAGGACACAGCCCUGGUGAUGGCUUUCUGAGGAUGACACGAUGGAGGCUUCUCCAAUAGCUCUAAAACUGCGGUGUGGAAAACAUUCGGCAGCCUCAAAGAGCGGUCUUGUUGACCCCAACUAUAUCAUUUUUCAUCAAAAUCAUUCUUGUAAAGAAUGACCAGGCAACACUCUUUGAAAAUUGGAGGCCAUUUGCAGCUGCUCUCUGUUGAGGAAAGUGAAUAAUAGGGUGCCCUCAAGGAAUUGCAAAGGGACACGCUGCGGAUGGCUUGAGAUUAGUAUCUGCGCAGGUGCCAUUCUCACAGUGUGUGCUGUGAGAAUGUCGCAGACGUGUGCUGCUACUCUGGCACUCACACUUGUCCAGGCUGUUUCUUAGGUGGUCAUCUUGCCUGUGGUAUCAGAAAAAGGGAUUUCUACUUAGUAUUAAGAAGUUGAAACCAAAGUAGAAAAUAUUCAUCCUUUGCUUUCCCCAAACAAUUCUUCUGCCUAGAAAUGUCAACAACUUAACCACAUGCAAAUACCCAUUUGUGGACAAAUGUGUACAAAAGACAUUUGGGGUUCCCCUCUUUGAGACUAGAUUAAAGCUGACCAUAUAGAUAGGGAAGAAAACUGUUUUUCUCUGUAGCAUCAUAUUGCUGCUUUGUAUAUUUUCUGAUAGAGUAGCAUCAGGUCCUCUGGCUGCUUUAUUGAAAUCAUCUUUGACGUUUCUAACAAGGAAAUUUCCUGUGCAAAACUCUAGUUAGAGAUUUCAGUGACUUGUAUCACCAAGAGGAGGACCAUCAGCAUGCAGUGGAGGUCUAGGCUUCAGACAUGUGAGGCACACUGAGGAGCAGCUUUAUUUGCAAGAGGUAUUAGGAAUCUUCCUAACAAAGUUGACCUUCAGGAUGGGAGAAAUCAAAGCACAGACCAUAGAUCCAAAAAAAAUGGCUUCUGGUCAGAAAAGGUGAUCUGAGAUUAGGGGAAGAUGUGUCAUCAAUAUCAUCCCCUGGUCCAGCCCUGUGAAAUCACACCUGAGUGGUAGAGAAAUAUCUAUGAAAAAAUAGUAAAACAGAAACAAAUGUUUCUGUCUGGCAGACAGGCAGCUGCAUGGCUUUCAGGGCCAGGUAGAGGGGACAUCACAUGUACAUGGUGGCAGCGGGAUGUCCCCAGGUAGCAGAAAGUCGCAGGUGGCUCAUCAGAGACCCUAAAGAACUAGCCCCCUACUUGUAGGUGUCAGUGGCUGUGGUAGGAGUGGCCAUAGAUAGUUUCUGGUUACACAAGAUUGGUGUGGGAACAGCAUGACCACGAGAAAAAUCUGGGUUGACGGCCCCAGGGAGCUGGAGCAGAAUAUUAACAAUAGUAGCUAGCAUUUGAGUGCUGCCCAUGUGCUUGAAAAUGUUCUAGGUGAUUUACCUUUAUUAGCUCCUAUAAUUCUCAAAACGACCUCGAGUUAGGUCUUUCUAUUAUUCCUAUUUUAUAGACAAAGCAGUGGAGCCACAGAGAGGUUAAGUAACUUGCCCAAUGUCACACAGCAAAAAGUGGCAGAGCCACAAUUUUAAUUUGGGUUGAAGAGGAAAAUAGAUAAUGCAUAUUCCUAGGAUCUGAGAGAUGUUUGAGGUGAGGGGGAAUGAGAGGCUCUCCUUUGAAAGAAGCAGCAGGGGGUACUGAAACAGAGUAGAAGAGUGUGAAAGCUGGUGGGGUUGUUGUUGUUGUUGUUUUUAGUCCUAAGUUAGUGGCAUGAAAGCACUG
ensembl:lncRNA HULC hepatocellular carcinoma up-regulated long non-coding RNA